GCGGCGGACGGGUGAGUAACACGUGGGCAACCUGCCCUACAGAUGGGGAUAACUCCGGGAAACCGGGGCUAAUACCGAAUAAACAGUUGGUUCGCAUGAACCAACUCUGAAAGACGGUUUCGGCUGUCACUGUAGGAUGGGCCCGCGGCGCAUUAGCUAGUUGGUGGGGUAAUGGCCUACCAAGGCGACGAUGCGUAGCCGACCUGAGAGGGUGAUCGGCCACACUGGGACUGAGACACGGCCCAGACUCCUACGGGAGGCAGCAGUAGGGAAUCUUCCACAAUGGACGAAAGUCUGAUGGAGCAAUGCCGCGUGAGCGAAGAAGGUUUUCGGAUCGUAAAGCUCUGUUGUAAGGGAAGAACACGUACGGGAGUAACUGCCCGUACCUUGACGGUACCUUAUUAGAAAGCCACGGCUAACUACGUGCCAGCAGCCGCGGUAAUACGUAGGUGGCAAGCGUUGUCCGGAAUUAUUGGGCGUAAAGCGCGCGCAGGCGGUCCUUUAAGUCUGAUGUGAAAGCCCACGGCUCAACCGUGGAGGGUCAUUGGAAACUGGGGGACUUGAGUACAGAAGAGGAAAGCGGAAUUCCACGUGUAGCGGUGAAAU
rnacentral:rRNA from 1 species